UGUUCAUUCCUUUUUGUCAUAAAUAAGUAUGUACAAUUAAACAUUAUAUCACAUGAUCAAAAUUAAAGAAUCGAUUCCUGCAUGUAUAAAGAUCGCUGGGUUCUGGUCGAUACUGAAUCUUAUUUAAUUAAUACGAGGUAACAUUUAAUUUAUAGUUUAGAACUUAUAAACAAAGUCUGAAUGUGACACGUUUGUAAUGUCGGUUGUAUAAGUGCUGUAAUAAAUGGCAUAGUUAUAUGUAAAGUAGGCAACUGUCUAGGAUUCUUUACAAUUCUGUAUUCCUAUCAUAAUUGUAGAUAACAAGUCGAAUGGAAUUGUGAGAGCUCAAAAGCGGCCAUCUGAAGAACCAGAUAACAAGUGGAAUGGAAUUUUGAGAGCUCGAACGCGGUCAUCUGAAGAACCAGAUGUUAACUACAAAAGAAAAAGAUCGUCAAGACAUCUUGAGACAG